CGUCGUUAAGGGCGACCACUUUCGAAAGUAGUGGAAGCAAAGCCCAGCUCUAAGUGCUUCAAAAAUAUUUUUAGAGGCAUAUGGGUUGUGGGUUGCCGAA
rnacentral:ncRNA from 1 species